AUGGCCGUGGCACGGGUCAACGGUCAUUGUCAACUGGCGAUCAAAGACCACGGAGCGAGCGAAAGCAAGCGCUACUGGCUCGCAGCCUAUGGAGUUAGCGCGGGCGCUGUAUACAUCUGCUCCGAGCGUAAGCACACUGUCUCUGGCCUCCUCUUCUCAUCUCUAAGUGUUGAAAUUGAAGAAAAGAUAGAAGAAGGUCAUAGGUCGGGAAUACGAGGACUUCCAUCAGACUAUGGGUCGGGGAUUAAUGCCGACCGACUGUUGGCAGCUAAUUGGGCCAAGAAGUCGCGCACGCGGGAACAGAAAAAGUUAGCGCCAAAAUUAGCCCAGCCCACUGAAAACUCCCUCUCUUUUUCCCCUUCCGCUCCUAAAUCCCCAAAUCCCUCAACCCCCAUCCAAUUUCUACAUCCGCCGCCGGCAUGCUCGAGCUCUUUGUCCGCCGCCGACGCUACUCUCUGCGGCCGGCUGCAGGCUCUCACUGCCGCCACGGGCUCGAGCAGCCUCCGCUGUGAGGUUCUCUCCAUGUUGCUACGCGCUCGAGCACCCUCCGCCUCCAGGUGCUCUCUUCUAUCCUGCUUAUCCCCCUCCCCCGUCGCUCACCACACCACCCUAUAUGCACAGGUGGUCCUGCCGUUGCCGUCCACACCCUGCCGACGGCUGCCCUUUUCUUCUGCGCCCAAGCUCAGCCAUCGCCCCUAUGUGCCGCCGGCCAAGAAGGUAUUUCCCUGUGAGACAACGACUUUAUCUCCAGAAAUCGGCCUGCUGGAUGGACUGGUCGAAGAAAUUUUCCAGUGUGAAAUAUCUGGUAGCUAUAUGGAUUCAUUGGCUCUAAAAACUGUUGCCCCAAUGUCUACAAUUUGGGGUCAUGUAGGUGAGGCGUCACUCCUUCAUCAGGUUAUAUGUCAACCUGAAAAUCAUCUAGGCUACAGGAUAGUUCCCCAAGAGCCCCAAUUGCAAUUGUUUGACACCCAUCUCCCCCAACUAACUUUCAGUGACCAGGUGCCUAUCCAUGGCGGCAACGACAUCGUGAAUGAUUUGGAAAAUGUAGUAGCAUGGUGGACAAAGGAUUUGGAGCCUCGGUUUGUUGGUGAAGAAUGGCCUGAAGAGCGGUAUCCCCAUGGGAAGGCCCAUGGUAGCCCCAGCAAAUUGUUGGUCGGGAAAGGCCUAGGGAAGGCCCAACAGAAUGUUGGUCGGAAAAGAUACCCCAUCGCCAACAAGAAGUCGGUCGGAAAAUCUAUGUCGGUCGGGAAAGGGUUUUCCCGUCUGGGCUUUCCCCAACAAACAAGGUCGGGUGGUAAAAUAAUUCAUCUUAGUAGCAAACAAGGAGGAGAUGACGUGAUUGAAGAAAUUGUGUUUCCAUCUUCGCUGUCCCUUUUGAGGUGA
rnacentral:rRNA from 1 species